rnacentral:rRNA from 1 species
GAAAGCAGAUCGCAUGAUCAGCUUUUAAAAGCGGCGUAAAGCUGUCGCUAUGGGGAUGGGCCCCGCGGGUGCAUUAGCUAGUUGGCAAGGUAAAGGCUUACCAAGGGCGAUGAUGCAUAGCCCGAGUUGAGAGACUGAUCGGCCACAUUGGGGACUGAGACACGGGCCCAAACUCCUACGGGAGGCAGCAGUAGGGAAUCUUCCACAAUGGACGCAAGUCUGAUGGAGCAAAUGCCGCGUGAGUGAAGAAGGUUUUCGGAUCGUAAAAAGCUCUGUUGUUGGUGAAGAAGGAUAGAGGUAGUAACUGGCCCUUUAUUUGACGGUAAUCAACCCAGAAAGUCACGGGCUAACUACGUGCCCAGCAGCCGCGGUAAAU